UGAUUGACUUGCUUAAACUGGUAUUUUC
rnacentral:piRNA from 1 species